UACGAAGGGUGCAAGCGUUGCUCGGAAUUAUUGGGCGUAAAGCGCGCGUAGGCGGCUUGGCAAGUCGGAUGUGAAAUCCCUCGGCUCAACCAAGGAAGUGCAUCCGAAACUGCUGAGCUUGAGUACUGAAGAGGAUCGCGGAAUUCCCGGUGUAGAGGUGAAAUUCGUAGAUAUCGGGAGGAACACCAGUGGCGAAGGCGGCGAUCUGGGAAGAUACUGACGCUGAGGUGCGAAAGCGUGGGGAGCAAACAGG
rnacentral:rRNA from 1 species